AUGUUGGAGGCAAACUGGAGUCUGCUGCAGCGCUGGGGCACCAGUCUUAGGAGAGGAGCUGAUUUUGACUCGGGGCCAGCUGGUGUAGGUGAUAUAUGAGUAUCAGAUAUUAGCAAGACACUUACAGAAGGAGACCCAAGCUCAACACAAUAAUUCUGAAUUCACAAAAGAAAGAUAGAAAACCAUAGGUAAAAUUGUAACAUAUUUCGAAUUGCAAAGUGCAGCAUUAUAGUCCACACAGUCCCAAGAAGAGUUUAAACUGGAGGACCUGAAGAAGCUAGAACCAAUCCUGAAGAAUAUUCUUACAUACAAUAAAGAAUUCCCAUUUGAUGUUCAGCCUAUCCCAUUAAGAGGGAUUUUAGCACCUGGUGAAGAAGAGAAUUUGCAGUUUGAAGAAGAUGAAGAAGGUGGUGCUAGAGCAGGACCUCCUGAUUCUUUCUCUGCUAGAGUUCCUGGUACUUUAUUGCCACGGUUGCCAUCGGGACCAGGGAUGACAUUACUCACCAUCAGGAUUGAGAAAAUUGGUUUGAAAGAUGCGGGGCAGUUUAUCGACCCCCUACAUCACAGUCAGCGUGGAAGAUUUGAAUGGCGUAGAUUUAACUCCCGUACAAGGUACUCCUGUGGCUUCAAGGAAAGAAGACACUUAUGUUCACUUUAAUGUGGACAUUGAGCUCCAGAAACAUGUUGAAAAGUUAACCAAAGAUGCAGCCCUCUUCUUUGAAUUCAAACAUUGCAGGCCUAGAAAGAGGUUUACCAGCACCAAGUGUUUUGCUGUCAUGGAGAUGGAUGAAAUUCAACCUGGGCCAAUUGUAAUAGACCUAUAUGAGAAACCCACUGACUUUAAGAGAAAGAAAUUGCUAUUGUUGAUCAAGAAACCACUUGAUCUUCAUCUAUAUCAAAGUUUGCACAAGGAAUCAUCCUGA